AUGCUGUGUUGACAGUACGCACAACAAAAUUGCAAAUGAUACAGAGAUGAUUAGCAUGGCCCUUGCGCUAGGAUGACACUCAAAUUCGUAAGCAUUCGAACGCUUGC
ensembl:snRNA U6 U6 spliceosomal RNA